rnacentral:rRNA from 1 species
GACGAACGCUGGCGGCGUGCUUAACACAUGCAAGUCGAACGAUGAAGCCUAGCUUGCUAGGUGGAUUAGUGGCGAACGGGUGAGUAAUACGUGAGUAACCUACCUUUAACUCUGGGAUAAGCCUGGGAAACUGGGUCUAAUACCGGAUACGACCAAUCUCCGCAUGGGGUGUUGGUGGAAAGCGUUAUGUAGUGGUUAUAGAUGGGCUCACGGCCUAUCAGCUUGUUGGUGAGGUAACGGCUCACCAAGGCGACGACGGGUAGCCGGCCUGAGAGGGUGACCGGCCACACUGGGACUGAGACACGGCCCAGACUCCUACGGGAGGCAGCAGUGGGGAAUAUUGCACAAUGGGCGCAAGCCUGAUGCAGCGACGCCGCGUGAGGGAUGACGGCCUUCGGGUUGUAAACCUCUGUUAGCAGGGAAGAAGAGAAAUUGACGGUACCUGCAGAGAAAGCGCCGGCUAACUACGUGCCAGCAGCCGCGGUAAUACGUAGGGCGCGAGCGUUGUCCGGAAUUAUCGGGCGUAAAGAGCUUGUAGGCGGUUUGUCGCGUCUGCUGUGAAGGCCGGGGCUUAACCCCGUGUAUUGCAGUGGGUACGGGCAGACUAGAGUGCAGUAGGGGAGACUGGAAUUCCUGGUGUAGCGGUGGAAUGCGCAGAUAUCAGGAGGAACACCGAUGGCGAAGGCAGGUCUCUGGGCUGUAACUGACGCUGAGAAGCGAAAGCAUGGGGAGCGAACAGGAUUAGAUACCCUGGUAGUCCAUGCCGUAAACGUUGGGCACUAGGUGUGGGGGACAUUCCACGUUUUCCGCGCCGUAGCUAACGCAUUAAGUGCCCCGCCUGGGGAGUACGGCCGCAAGGCUAAAACUCAAAGAAAUUGACGGGGGCCCGCACAAGCGGCGGAGCAUGCGGAUUAAUUCGAUGCAACGCGAAGAACCUUACCAAGGCUUGACAUAUACUGGACCGCAUCAGAGAUGGUGUUUCCCUUCGGGGCUGGUAUACAGGUGGUGCAUGGUUGUCGUCAGCUCGUGUCGUGAGAUGUUGGGUUAAGUCCCGCAACGAGCGCAACCCUCGUUCUAUGUUGCCAGCACGUUAUGGUGGGGACUCAUAGGAGACUGCCGGGGACAACUCGGAGGAAGGUGGGGAUGACGUCAAAUCAUCAUGCCCCUUAUGUCUUGGGCUUCACGCAUGCUACAAUGGCCGGUACAGAGGGUUGCGAUACUGUGAGGUGGAGCUAAUCCCUAAAAGCCGGUCUCAGUUCGGAUUGGGGUCUGCAACUCGACCCCAUGAGGUCGGAGUCGCUAGUAAUCGCAGAUCAGCAACGCUGCGGUGAAUACGUUCCCGGGCCU